AUUGAACGCUGGCGGCAUGCCUUACACAUGCAAGUCGAACGGUAACGGGCCUUCGGGUGCCGACGAGUGGCGAACGGGUGAGUAAUGUAUCGGAACGUACCUUUCAGUGGGGGAUAACGUAGCGAAAGUUACGCUAAUACCGCAUAUUCUGUGAGCAGGAAAGCAGGGGAUCGCAAGACCUUGCGCUGAUUGAGCGGCCGAUAGCAGAUUAGCUAGUUGGUGAGGUAAAGGCUCUCCAAGGCGACGAGCUGUAGCGGGUCUGAGAGGAUGAUCCGCCACACUGGAACUGAGACGCGGUCCAGACUCCUACGGGAGGCAGCAGUGGGGAAUUUUGGACAAUGGGGGCAACCCUGAUCCAGCCAUGCCGCGUGAGUGAAGAAGGCCUUCGGGUUGUAAAGCUCUUUCGGCCGGGAAGAAAUCGUAUCAGCUAAUACCUGGUGCGGAUGACGGUACCGGCAUAAGGAGCACCGGCUAACUACGUGCCAGCAGCCGCCGUAACAC
rnacentral:rRNA from 1 species